GGGCUUGUAGCUCAGUCGGUUAGAGCGCGCGCUUGAUAAGCGUGAGGUCGGAGGUUCAAGUCCUCCCAGGCCCA
rfam:Bartonella rochalimae ATCC BAA-1498 genomic scaffold supercont1.2, whole genome shotgun sequence.